GCAACAGCAAAAGAGGAAUGAGCAGACAGACUAUAAGUAAUUAUUACUAACCCUCUUAUACCUUGGAACAAGCAUCCAGUGCCCUUGUAUUCUACACUCCAGGAAGAACUAGAGUUGGGGAAUUCAUCCUCUCUAAACGUUGACGUCAAUUGAACACAUAAACCACUGAUACUGAAGAAGCAACAUCUGGAGGCAGUUACCUGCUUUUGAAACUAGGUGUCAUAACUGGAGAGCUGCGUACCAGAAAGAAAUAAGGUCUGAAACACCGUAAGAGAUGUCCUGAGAAGAACCAAGAUAUACCAGAUCAUCUAACAAAAGAAUGGAGAGGUCUAUACAUUUAACUCCUUCCUCCUCCCCUGUAAUUACUUAAAAUCCUCCCCACCAACUCAUCAGAUCUCUUUUUCUUGCAACCUGAGCCAGGGCAGAUGAAAACAACUAGAAAGUAUUACACUGAGUAAUCUAUUAAACAUUUUCUACUUUGAAGAGCGUGCGCAGUUCAUUGGAGAAAGAAAUUCCAUCUGCAAAGACAGCCAAUGACCAUGAAAAAAGCUGAACUACAGUGCAAAUGAAUAACGAGCCAGCAGUUCAACUUACACAGCACAUUAUAAGCGGAGACUUUCAUAAAGAUAAGACUCUAAAUCAACUUGUAAACUUUUAUAACAAAAUGCCAAACACGCCACUUAAAUCAAACCAACACUGAGCACCUAAGUGAAAAUCCUAAGACACACAAGUCUCCCUUUGUCAGUAACGGCGGAUGCCUGUCCAUCCCAGAUAGCUAAAUUACUUCUGUCAGAUGGUGGCACACCUAACCUCCAUUCCUUUACUUCCUCGUUUCCCCAGUACAUUCUAUGAUAGGAAUCCUUGAGAUAUUAUUCC